rnacentral:rRNA from 1 species
UGGGGAAUAUUGCGCAAUGGGCGGAAGCCUGACGCAGCGACGCCGCGUGGGGGAUGACGGCCUUCGGGUUGUAAACCUCUUUCGACCCCGGCGAAGGGUGACUGACGGUAGGGGUAGAAGAAGCACCGGCCAACUACGUGCCAGCAGCCGCGGUAACACGUAGGGUGCGAGCGUUGUCCGGAAUUAUUGGGCGUAAAGAGCUCGUAGGCGGUGUGUCGCGUCGGCCGUGAAAACCUGCAGCUUAACUGUGGGCUUGCGGUCGAUACGGGCAUCACUGGAGUUCGGCAGGGGAGACUGGAAUUCCUGGUGUAGCGGUGAAAUGCGCAGAUAUCAGGAGGAACACCGGUGGCGAAGGCGGGUCUCUGGGCCGAUACUGACGCUGAGGAGCGAAAGCGUGGGGAGCGAACA